CACGCACUGCCUUGGUGACCAAGGAAGGCACCCCACGGCUAUGGGGAAAUUAGCCUGAGACUUAGCUUUCAUUAUCACUGUCUCCCAGGGUGUGCUUGUCGAAGAGAUAUUCUGCCGAGCCAGAUUCGGGCGCUCCCAUCUUGCGCAAGUUGGUCACGUGGUCACUCAAUUCUUUGAUGGCUUUCACCUGCUCAUUCAGGCGUUGGUUCUGCAGCUUCAUCAGUUUCUCAGCAUGUUCCCUCUCCUCAUGAGAUUGGUAAAGAAAGUAUUUGGCAAAGUUCUUCAAAGCCACAUCAUCGCGGUCAAAGUAUAAGACAUGGACAGGGAUCAAGAUCAGCAAGCAUGACUUCAUUCUCCUUCUAUCCCCGGCUCUCAUGCAGUGUCUGGUGCACAGCAGAUGUGCAGCAAAUCCUGAAUUACAACAUCACUCAGGAGCUGUGGGCACUAAUAUACACAUGAUGAUACUUAAUUCUCUCAGAAAACCUUUGGCAAAGACACUUUCUACAUCUUGAAGGCAAGGAAUCUGAAUCUUGAAGAGAUUAAAUGAAUUGUCCAAAGUCACGUGGGGGUUUGGGAGAAGGAAAAUCAUGAACACACAUUCUUCUACUCUGGAGAAGUGGGGAAGGUGACCUGGGAAACCAUCUGAAAGGGAGCAGGAUGGAUUCUAUAAAAUAUAGAGUGUUCAAUGAAAACAACCUGAUGCUCCUCCCAGUACCAUCACAUUUUUCUAGCUGCAUAUCCUUAGGUAAGUCAAUGUCUGAAUUUCAGUUUCCUCACUGUUAAAUGGGAUAAUAAGCUUUACCUUACAGGAUUAUCAUGAGGCUGAAGCCAGGAAAUGACCCAACAUUGAGGGUAAUCUGGGCACUGAAGGCACUACAAUUCCCAGGAUUUUUCAAGAAAAUGUCGAAUGUGCUGCCACAUAUGUCGGAUGCACAUGGAUCCCCUCCCACAAGGAAAAUCACGAUUGAAGAUCACCUCCUUGAAGAUGUCGUAUUGGGAGCGGUGUUUUUCCCUGUUGCUGACAGGUUAGACUUGCACAGGCGUCAGUACUGAGGUGUGAGACGGAGCCCAUGUAUGGCUUCUAUCUCUGCACUGUGGCUGCUCCGUUCAUGUGUCAGUCACAUCAGCUCAGAGACUGCCUAAUGUCAACUGGCCUAGUCAUUUUGUCU
rnacentral:lncRNA from 1 species